rnacentral:rRNA from 1 species
GACGAACCGUGCGAACGUUAUUCGGAAUCACUGGGCUUAAAGCGCGUGUAGGCGGGACGGCACGUCGGUCGCUGAAAUCCCCCGGCUUAACCGGGGAACUGGCGUCGAUACGACCGUCCUGGAGGGGCGUAGGGGGACCUGGAACUUCCGGUGGAGCGGUGAAAUGCGUUGAGAUCGGAAGGAACGCCCGUGGCGAAAGCGAGGUCCUGGACGUUUUCUGACGCUGAGACGCGAAAGCCAGGGGAGCAAACAGG